UUUUAUAAAAAAAAAAGACAAAAUCCCGCUCACUAUUUUUGGUUACCUGCCCGUUAACCAAAUCCCCCAAAUUAUUUCUUUUUCCCCAAAUAAAAGAGAAGAGGGGGGAGAGGAAGAAGAAGAGAGUGAAGAUGAAGGGACUAAAAAGGUUAAAGGUAGUAGUAGAAAGGGGAGUUCUAGGAAAUCUGGUCGAGAUUCGGCUGAGAAAAAAGAGCCAGUGGCGCCAAGGGAAAGGAAAGUCGUAGAAAGAUAUUCAGCUUCUUCUGUUGCAAGGUCUUCCUUGUUUGUUGAUAUAAAUUUAGCUCAAUUAGUAGAACAUGGCUAGAAAUCCAAGUUGAUGCUGCUUGUGUGGAUCUUAAAUCUCGAUCUCCAUAUUUUUAUGAGUUUGGAUGCAAGAUAGCACCACUGGCACCUCAAGUGUAUUUUUUUGGUGACAAUGUUAUGAACCUUAAACCAGAACUGGUAAUGGGUGCAAAGCUGAAGUAUAGCAGAUGUGGACUAAAGGGUGCUGCACUUGGCUGUUAUGUGAAGUCUUGCCAUAGAAGCCAUCAUUUCCUUUGUGCAAAAGAGAUUCCAAAAUGUCGAUGGGACUAUGAGGACUUCUUGUGCUUUGUCCUGCCCAUUCUUCAGUCAAGUUUCCAAGUGAGAAGUCUAGAAAGGCCCAUUCUGCAGCCAAGUUCCCAAAUGAGAAGCCUGGAAACUGGCUAUCUGCUGAUGAUAAAGUGCCAACUGAAAGUUUCUUCUGGUCAAGUUUGCAAAAAUGAUUAGUGUAACUGUAUCCAAGUUUUGGAGGCCGGAUGUCACUCAUGUGAUUGCCUCUAAAGAUGAGAAUGGUGCAUGCACUAGGACACUUAAAGUUCUCAUGGCCAUUUCAAAUGGGAAGUGGGUUCUUAAAUUAAAUUGUAAAUAAACCAUCACUUAUAUUCAUUGGUGAAAUUGAUGCUUUAGCAACUAGGUUGCUGUUAAGAAAAUGAAAAGAAAGUUCUACUUUUGGGAAGAGUGUGUGAAUAUAAGACAAGUUAAGGCCCUUCGUAAACUAAAUCACCCUAAUACUGUAAAGUUAAAGGAGGUUGUCAGGGAAAGCAAUAAACUAUUCUUCAUUUUCGAGUACAUGUUGAUUUCGAAAGAACUUGGUGUAUUUGCACGAGAACUUUUGUGUGUUCGCUGCAAGACUUUUCUACGUUUUACUUGUAUUGUUUUGUUCUCAGGUUGAUCAACAGAAGUCCUCGUUUUUCUUCCCUAUUUCAUCUGGGUUAUAAUUGGUUGUAACUCUAUUUUCGUGUUAUCUUGUUUAGGUUAGAGCAUUAUGUGACAAGGCAUAAAUAUGCAUCUUAAAGACUAAAUACAUUCGCAUGUGUUAGGUAUAGAAAAAGGUAUUUCCAUUUUGGUGUUAAGAUUUUAUACAGUGUAGCUGCUUACUGUCUUACACUAUGUUGUCCUUUUAGGCAAAAUGGUUGAACAAGCAAUUGAGCAAAUUAUGGCCUUUUGUUGUAGAGGUAAGAUACAUGUUCUUAGAUUCAUAGUAGUUGCUAGUUAUUUAUUUCAAAAAGGCUGAGAGAGGCUUUUGUGUAACUGAGGUUUUCCACCUUAACAGAUGAAAUUUAGGUAGGUUGUUCAACUCUUUUGGUUCUUUCUGAAGUGAAAAUAAUUGAAAUUGUUCUCUAUGUAACUUAUAAUUUAGUAUUUUUUCAUAGUAGAUAAACCAGUAUUAGACUA